rnacentral:rRNA from 1 species
CUGUGAUCUCAAAGAACUUGCAUAUUAUUAUUAUAAAUAAGAAUAAAAAAAAACAAAAAUAAUAAAUAAAACAAUUUUUGUUUAUUUAAUAAUAUGACAUUUUACCCAUUGGGGGGGUGUAAAAACCCUAUUCGUGAGUAUUUGCACUCGAAAGGGCUAUGAUUGUGGUGAAUAAUCAGACAUAGUACGAUAAGGUUGUAUGUCUAAAGGGAAACAGCCCAGAACAAGAGUUAAUAAGGUUCCAAAAUUAUUGUUAAGUGAAAAUAAGGGAGUGUUUAUCUUAUUCGACUAGGAAAUAGGCUUGGAAGCGGCCAUUUUUUGAAGAUCUCGUAAAAGAGCACUAGUUUGUUACAUGGAUAAUUGCACCAAAAAUUUAACGGAUCUAAACAAUAUACCGAUACCUUGUACAUAAAUAGUUAUAUAUCCUAGUUAUAUAUAAUAUAUAUGGGGUAGCAGAACGUAGGGCAAAUAUUAGAUUAUUUCUUUUUAAGAACUAAAAUGAGAUUACCCUAGUGAUAAUGCUGACAUGAGUAACGAUAAAGGGUAUAUUAAUAUACCCUCGCCUAAAGCUUAUGGUAUUCUAUUAAAGUAACGGCCUCUAAGUUUAUUAUUGUAGUCCUAAAGGACUAAACGAUGAGAAAAUCUUAAUGUUUAUAUAAAUAACCCUUAAGUAUGAAAAAAUAUGUAGUAUAAACGUAUAAAUAGUAUUAAUAUUACACAAUUAGAUACUUUAAAUUUUAUAAUUUAUAUAAGGCCAUUUAUAAAAAUAAAAAUAUUUACUGUAUAUGUUUGCACAUCUAUUUUAACAACAUUUUUUUGUAAGUGACGUAGGUUCUGGAAAAUAUUAUAUUUAGCAACCGUACCUAGAAACUACCCC